rnacentral:rRNA from 1 species
GCGAGAUGACCGAUUUUUUUAAGUGACAACAAUGCUAGAGCAAAGACGGAUGAAGACUAUUGAUGUAGAGGGGAAGGAGUGGUGGGGAGAUAGAUGUUGUUUUGUCUUUGAGAGUGCAUAAGGAGGCACAAUAACUGCUGGAGGGAAGGAGUGGUGGGGACAUAGAUGUUGUUUUGUCUUCGAGAGUGCAUCAGGAGGCACAAUAACUAUUGGAGGGAAGAAGUGGUAGAGAUAAUAGGUAUUAGUCAUCGUUGUAUGAAUGGAAACCACGUGUCAACAUGUUCUCUAUUAUUCUGUGGCAACGCACGGGCAUUCGGCUAGU